UACGUAGGGUGCAAGCGUUGUCCGGAAUUAUUGGGCGUAAAGAGCUCGUAGGCGGUUUGUCGCGUCUGCUGUGAAAACUCGGGGCUUAACUCCGGGCCUGCAGUGGGUACGGGCAGACUAGAGUGCGGUAGGGGAGAUUGGAAUUCCUGGUGUAGCGGUGGAAUGCGCAGAUAUCAGGAGGAACACCGAUGGCGAAGGCAGAUCUCUGGGCCGUAACUGACGCUGAGGAGCGAAAGCGUGGGGAGCAAACAGG
rnacentral:rRNA from 1 species